UGGGGUUGCUGAAUUAGAGAUCGGCACCCUGUUUAUUUAUCUAUAAUUUUGGAGUUGAAAAUGUCUCUAAGCGUUGAAGCUAAAGCUAAAAUCGUUUCCGAGUUUGGUCGUGGUACU
rfam:Cedecea davisae DSM 4568 genomic scaffold Scaffold0, whole genome shotgun sequence.